GCGGCCGGAUAUGUCAGAUGUGAAAGCCCUGGGCUUAACCCAGGAAGUGCAUUUGAACUGUCCGGCUUGAGUAGGGGAGAGGGAAGUGGAAUUCCUGGUGUAGAGGUGAAAUUCGUAGAUAUCAGGAGGAACACCCGGUGGCGAAGGCGACUUCCUGGCCCUAUACUGACGCUGAGACGCGAAAGCGUGGGUAGCAAACAGGAUUAGAUACCCUGGUAGUCCACGCCGUAAACGAUGUUCACUAGGUGUUGGGGGUAUUGACCCCCUCAGUGCCGGAGCUAACGCAUUAAGUGAACCGCCUGGGGAGUACGGUCGCAAGACUAAAACUCAAAGGAAUUGACGGGGGCCCGCACAAGCGGUGGAGCAUGUGGUUUAAUUCGAUGCAACGCGAAGAACCUUACCUGGGCUUGACAUCCCGAGAAUCUCCUGGAAACAGGAGAGUGCCCUUCGGGGAGCUCGGAGACAGGUGCUGCAUGGCUGUCGUCAGCUCGUGUCGUGAGAUGUUGGGUUAAGUCCCGCAACGAGCGCAACCCUCGCCUUUAGUUGCCAGCAUUAAGUUGGGCACUCUAAAGGGACUGCCGGUGUCAAACCGGAGGAAGGUGGGGAUGACGUCAAGUCCUCAUGGCCUUUAUGUCCAGGGCUACACACGUACUACAAUGGCCGGUACAAAGAGCAGCGAGUCAGCGAUGGCCAGCUAAUCUCGUAAAACCGGUCUCAGUCCGGAUCGGAGUCUGCAACUCGACUCCGUGAAGUUGGAAUCGCUAGUAAUCGUGGAUCAGCAUGCCACGGUGAAUACGUUCCCGGGCCUUGUACACACCGCCCGUCACACCACGAGAGUUGGUUGUUCCAGAAGCGGUUGAGCUAACUAGCAAUAGGGGCAGGCUGCCAAGGAAUGGCCGGUAAUUGGGGUGAAGUCGUAACAAGGUAACC
rnacentral:rRNA from 1 species